rnacentral:tRNA from 1 species
GGGGUUGUGGCUCAGUGGUAGAGCACUUGCCUGCAUGCAUGAGGCACUGGGUUCAAUCCUCAGCACCACA